CUUUGGCCCACAGUGUUCUUAUCUUAUAGAACACACAAUUAGCCAGUGAAAAACUCAUAACUAGUCUACCUAGUGGAGAAAAAUUCUUGUGGGCAGUUUGAAAGCCUCUAAGAGAAGAUUAUGAAGUUUGGAACCAGAUGGCAGGAGACACGAGGAAGGCUGUAGAUGCUUUGAACUUGUCUACUGGAGGAAUAUGCUAUGUUGUGACGGAGUCUUGCUCCUGUCGCCCAUGCUGGAGUACAGUGGUGCAAUCUCAGCUCACUGCAACCUCUGCCUCCUGGGAUCAAGUGAUUCUCCUGCCUCAGCAGCCUGAGUAGCUGGGACUACAG